UACGAAGGGGGGCUAGCGUUGUUCGGAAUUACUGGGCGUAAAGCGCGCGCAGGCGGUCCUUUAAGUCAGGGGGUGAAAGCCCAGAGCUCAACUCUGGAACUGCCUUUGAAACUAGAGGACUUGGGUACGGGAGAGGUGAGUGGAAUUCCGAGUGUAGAGGUGAAAUUCGUAGAUAUUCGGAAGAACACCAGUGGCGAAGGCGGCUCACUGGCCCGUUACCGACGCUCAGGCGCGACAGCGUGGGGAGCAAACAGGG
rnacentral:rRNA from 1 species